rnacentral:miRNA from 1 species
AAGCUUGUGAAAAUGUAGAUUCUUGGGCCCACCACCGGAGUUUGAUUCCCUUUGUCUGGGGUGGGGUCCAGGGAUCUGCAUUUUUCUACGUGCCCAGGGUGAUUAUGAUAC